rnacentral:misc_RNA from 1 species
CACAAUAUGGUCCGGUCUACUCUGUAGUUCCGGCAUCGCCGGGGGGCUUCACAGCCCCCGUCUGCACCCUUGUCUUUGCGCACUCAUGUUUCCUCGGCAGGCUUGCCUGCCGCUAGGACAACCUAAACUCUUGAAUUUUCAAUCAGCGUCUAAAAAACUAUAAUAUUUA